rnacentral:rRNA from 1 species
UACGGAGGGUGCAAGCGUUAAUCGGAAUUACUGGGCGUAAAGCGCGCGUAGGCGGUCUGGUAAGUCGGGUGUGAAAGCCCCGGGCUCAACCUGGGAAUUGCAUUCGAUACUGCCGGACUAGAGUAUGGUAGAGGGAAGUGGAAUUCCGCAUGUAGCGGUGAAAUGCAUAGAGAUGCGGAGGAACACCAGUGGCGAAGGCGACUUCCUGGACCAAUACUGACGCUGAGGUGCGAAAGCGUGGGGAGCAAAC